rnacentral:rRNA from 1 species
GACGAACGCUGGCGGCGUGCUUAACACAUGCAAGUCGAACGGUAAGGCCCUUCGGGGUACACGAGUGGCGAACGGGUGAGUAACACGUGGGUGAUCUGCCCUGCACUUCGGGAUAAGCCUGGGAAACUGGGUCUAAUACCGGAUAGGACCAUGGACUUCACGGUUUGUGGUGGAAAGCUUUUGCGGUGUGGGAUGGGCCCGCGGCCUAUCAGCUUGUUGGUGGGGUAAUGGCCUACCAAGGCGACGACGGGUAGCCGGCCUGAGAGGGUGUCCGGCCACACUGGGACUGAGAUACGGCCCAGACUCCUACGGGAGGCAGCAGUGGGGAAUAUUGCACAAUGGGCGCAAGCCUGAUGCAGCGACGCCGCGUGAGGGACGACGGCCUUC